CGGCACGACCAGCGAGCGCGUUACGAAAGCGGCUAAAAGAAAAUCUCGAUGCUCAGAAAGGAAAGCCAGUCUCUUUUUACAGCCCAGCGAGCUCGCCCACCCCACGCGCCGGUACCCGCGAGACGCUCGAGCCAUUGGUGGAGAGAAAGCCGGGAAGACACGGAGAAGGCGCUCGCGGGACUUGUCCCGGCCCGGCCCCGAGCGCAGUUACCCGUCCAAGGCGGGAGCUGCAGCCGCCUCCUGUCGCUCCUCGGCCUCCGCCGCCUCCGCCUCCUCCUCCGGCCCCGCGCGCCUCGCGGGCCCCGGACGCGGCUGCCCGGGGCGGAGAGCGCGGGGACGCCGCAAAAGGAGCCGAGGAAGUCCCUGAGCUCCACGGGCCCGCUGGGAGCCGACCGUCAACGGGCUCAGCGCGGCGGGCGCCCAGCUCCUGCUCACCCGGGCCGGCCCAGGAGCGACUGUCCCACGCCCGCCGCCGCCGCAGCUGCCCCCGCGCGUAUCCGUGCUCGGCUCGGGCACCGGGCGAUUAUCACUGGGGCGCGCGGUGACGUCACCCGGACACCGGCUCCGUCGCCGCCUCCCCGAGGUGUCCUUGAGAACUGCGGGGCACGCGCGCCGCGCACACGCGCAUACACGCACUGCGCGCCCGGUGCCUCCCGCGCACACUCGCCGUGUCGAGCUCCGCGCGCUCUUCCGUUAACACGGACGCCGCCCUCGAGCGCCCUCGACCGUCCCCGGCGCCCCGCGGCCGCACGUCUACCCACGGGAACGUGUCUCUCUCAUCCACACACACACCAGGACCCUCCCGUGCCCCUCCCGCACCCACGCGAACGCUCCUCCUGAAGCCCCGCGGCCGCAGCCCCUCUGAGUGCACGUUGACAACCAGCAACCACGCCUCGGCUGCACACGGCUUGGUCUCACACGCAGACGCACCUCCGCACGGCCUGCUCCGCAGGUUCGCGCUUCCAGUCUUUCCCCCAUAAGGCGCACAUCGUCACUACCCACAGCGCCUGCAGCCCCCACAGGAAAGGAAGGCUCGGGAGCCCAGAGCUCGGAGCGGCCCACUGGGUAGUUAUCUGGAGGAGGGAGAUAGACACCCCAUCAAAGAUCACUCUCCUUGCUGUGUC
ensembl:lncRNA